ensembl:rRNA 5S_rRNA 5S ribosomal RNA
GUCUAAGGCCGUAUCACCCUAAACACACCUGAUCUCAGAAGUUAAGCAGGGUUGGGCCUAUCUAGUACUUGGAUGGGAGACUGCCUGGGAAUAUCAGGUGCUAUGGCCU